GUGCUUGCUUUGGGAGCACAUAUCCUAAAAUUGGAGGGAUACAAAGAAGAGUAACAUGGCUCCUGCACAAGGAUGCAUGUAAAUUCAUGAAGCAUUCCAUAUAGAG
ensembl:snRNA U6 U6 spliceosomal RNA